AUACGGAGGGUGCAAGCGUUAUUCGGAAUCACUGGGCGUAAAGGACGCGUAGGCGGGUUGGCAAGUCAGAUGUGAAUUCCUACAGCUUAACUGUAGAACUGCAUUUGAAACUGCUAACCUAGAGUAUGGGAGGGGGAGAUGGAAUUAGUGGUGUAGGGGUAAAAUCCGUAGAUAUCAAUAGGAAUACCGAAAGCGAAGGCGAUCUCCUGGAACAUAACUGACGCUAAGGCGUGAAAGCGUGGGGAGCAAACAGGAUUAGAUACCCUAGUAGUCC
rnacentral:rRNA from 1 species